UAAUUGUUUACAAGAAAAAAAAGUUAUUUUCGCUAAAUUGACCCUUGAAUUAAUAUCUGGGGUUAAUUUCAUACAGGUCCCUGCAAACAUAGUGAAUGAUAAAUAUAUCUCUACAAAGUUCAACUUUUAUAUAUUGCUCCUACAAAAGUCAUGAUGUUUUCAAAUAUGUCCCUCUGAUUUGUUGCCGUUAGAAAGCCGUUAGAGAACUGUUUAUAUUUUCAAUUUUGCCAUCACAAAUAUAUCUCGCAAAAAACCAUAACAGUAUAAUAUAAAAGGGUAAAAAUAUCAAAAACUAACCAAGAUUAAGUAUUUAAUCUAUGGUUAACUAAAAUUUUCUAACACAUUCUAAUGGCAGAAACAUAUUUGAAAAUAUCAGAACUUUUGUAGGAACAAUAUAUGAAUUAAAGUUGAACUUUAUAGGAAUAUAUUUGUCAUUCACUAUGUUUGCAGGAACCUGUAUGAAAUUAGCCUUAAUCAAUCUCCGUGCAAAAUUUUCGUUAAAAUUCUGCCAUUUACCAACACCAGCUACUGCAAGAAGCAAUCGAAAAC
rnacentral:lncRNA from 1 species